rnacentral:rRNA from 1 species
CGGGGAUAACCUUCCGAAAGAGGGCUAAUACCGCAUAAGACCACGAGCUGUACGCAGCUUGAGGUCAAAGCUGGCCUCUUCAUGAAAGCUAGCACUUGAGGAUGAGUCCGCGGCCCAUCAGCUAGUUGGUAGUGUAAAAGACUACCAAGGCUAAGACGGGUAGCUGGUCUGAGAGGAUGAUCAGCCACACUGGAACUGAGACACGGUCCAGACUCCUACGGGAGGCAGCAGUGGGGAAUCUUGCGCAAUGGGCGAAAGCCUGACGCAGCGACGCCGCGUGGGUGAUGAAGGCCUUCGGGUUGUAAAGCCCUGUGGGGAGGGACGAAUAACAACGACCUAAUACGUCGUUGGAUGACGGUACCUCCUUAGCAAGCACCGGCUAACUCUGUGCCAGCAGCCGCGGUAA